UUUUUUUUUUUUUUUUUUUUGUGCUUAGUCAUUGCUGCCUAAACUCUGUUUGCACUUGCAGCUCAACGCAAGCUUCCAGGAGGUGCGUCUGGUCGCUGAGGUUGGUGCUCGAGCUGAGAUUGACUUGAAGCAUCUCAACGAGAAGCUCGAGCGGGCGAAGAAUGUUGCUGUUGUUGUUGAGUGCAAGGUCAAGGAUAGGGAUGCGGAGGUCGCGGCGUUGAAGGAGAUACUGGAGCAGGUGAGGGGAGAUUUCGCUGCUGCUAAGGCUUCUGCUGAAUACUGGGAGCACGCAUGCCAAGAGAAUGGCGCAGCGUGGAAGGCCUACUGCGACAACUUAGAGAAAGCUGUAAUGGGGUCGCCCGAAGGAGAGGAGACGCGAGGUGGUGCCGAUGGAGCUUUGGUGCCAGCUCAGGACGCCUUGAUGGGCCCUAACGACCAGGUCGCCAGUGGCCGUAUGGAGGUUGAUGGUUCCAGCGACCAGUCUAUGCAACAGUGAACUAGUCUCGGUACCAAUCUUCUUGUAUUGGGUAACCUUGUGCAAAGUUUGCUUCUUGCACUCCUUGUUCUUGCAGUAAGUCUUCUUUGGCCUUCCUCAAAAGCAGCCUUCUGAGUUUGUGAGCUCGAGUAAACAAUCAUUUGUUUUGUUUGAAGUUGUAAUGAACAGCAGUAAUUGAUAGUUUAUUAUUUGAUGAGCUUGUAAUUAAGUCGUUCUGAUCAGCUAGUUUCCAGGGAGUCCUGGUAGCUCGUUCAGAAGGCAGGUAGACGAGAUGAAUAGCUGCAAGCAGGACGAACUGAAACAGUUCUUCUUGUAUGCCUUAGUUUAAUUUUGCUUUUACCUGUAAUGGUUAGAAUCUCAUCAAGUAAAAAAAAAUUUCAAUGAUUUACCUUACAUUGGUGUUCAUGUUGCUUUGUCUGCUUGUAUGGGUUCCGCAAACAAUAAGUAACACGCAUAGUGUUGGACCUGCUUGAGGGUGGGGUCGUAUGCCAUUUAGCUAUGCUGUGCUUGGGUCGUGGGAAGGGGAUGACCAAUGCACGAAGUUAAGUUGUUAAUGUUAGAACUUAACAAAAUUUAAAAUUAUCAAAGGGACUAGAUUUUUGAUAAUUUGUAGGUCGAGGGAUUAGACCUUUGGGAGCCAUUCAUGUUUGAGCUGAGAUGAAGGCAAAAAUGAAUUUAUAUAUUGAAAUGUGAUAAAUAGAUGCUUACAUUUCAUUGAUAAAACUUCUUCAAGUGAUAAGCAUUCCAUGGGUUCUUAACGAUCUCCCCUUCUGGUGUUUGAAGAUGAUAAGAACCGUUGCUUUGAACCUUGGUAAUAAUGUAAGGGCCUUCCCAAUUGGCGUUUAGCUUGCCGAUAGUGUCCUUUCUUUUGUUAUGGAACAUUUUUCUUAGAACUAGUUCUCCUGGCUGAAAAGUUCUGUGCCGUACACCUUUGUUAUAAGCUUGCUUUAGUCGUUGUUGAUAUUGCUCGAGUUUUACAACGGCGUGGUUCCGUCGUUCUUCGAGGAGAUCGAUUCCGAACGACCAGACCUGAUUGUCAAGUUCGGUGUCGAUCAGAAGUGACUUGGUCGUUCCAAAUGUUAAUUCGGUUGGAAUAACGGCCUCAACUCCAUAGCAAAGACUGAAUGGUGACAUCCUUGUGGAUGUACGCGGAGUUGUUCUGUAAGCCCAUAAGAUAUUCUCCAACUGCUGUGGCCAUUGAUCGUGUUGAUCUUCAAGCUUUUUCUUCAAGUUAUUCAGAAUCUGUCGAUUUGCAGCUUCGACUUGGCCGUUGGCUUGUGGAUAUCUAGGUGUUGACCUGGAAUGUUCGAUUUUCCAUAAUUCGUAGAAAGCCUUGAUGUUUUUGCCAACGAACUGAGUGCCAUUAUCCGUGACUAUCCGUUUUGGUAGACCAAAUCGUGUGAUGAUAUUUUCCCACAUGAAUUUCUGAACGUCGGCUUGAGUAACGUUGGCUAGUGCAACAGCUUCUACCCAUUUGGUGAAAUAGUCAAUGGCAACUAGAACAAACCUCUUUUCAGAUUUCUUUUCUUUGAUUAAGGGGCCCAUGAUAUCUAGCCCCCACAUGUGAAAUGGCCAUGGUGCAGUGAUGUUGAUGAGAUCAUUGGGAUGCUUAUGUUGAUUAUCAGCGAAACGUUGGCAUUCUUCACACCUCAACAAAAAUUUCUUAGCAUCUUCUUUCAUCCUUGGCCAGAAAUAUCCCUGGGAGAUCGCUUUGUGAGCUAAUGUUCGACCUCCGGAAUGGUUUCCACAUUCCCCUUCAUGAAUUUCUUGAAAGAUCAUUUGUCCAUGUUUGGGGAUGAGGCACCGUAAUAACAAACCAGUUGCAGAUUUUCUGAAAAGCUUACCCUAAUGAAGUUUAUACAUAGUGACUUUAUGUAACAGCUGACUGGCUUCCUUUUUGUUGGAUGGUAGCACACCAGUUUGAAGGUAAGUGAUGAAAGGUUCCAUCCAAGUUCCUUGGAUGUCUGCUGGUGUUGUGGCUAGUAGAUCAGAGAUUUGAUGAACAUUUUCUUCUUUCAAUAGAUAUGCGGGCUGUGUACUGAUUGCUAUAGUGAGAGCCCGCGGUCGAUCUGACUCGAUCUUAGAUGCUAAGAAUGCCAGUGAAUCAGCAUGUCUGUUGUCAUCUCUAGGGAUGUGUUCGAUUGUGAAAUAACUGAGCUUGCUGAUGAGUUCCUUUACUUUACUAGCAUACCUUAUUAAGUUGACACCAUUGAUCUGGUAAUUAUUGGUGAUCUGAUUGACUACCAGUUGAGAAUCACUGUAUGCCUUGAGGCGAACUGCCUGUAGGUCGAUAGCCAUUUGUAUGCCCUGGAUUAGAGCUUCGUAUUCGGCCUCAUUGUUGGAGGUUGAGAAGUCGAGACGAGUUGCUCUCUCUAGCUGUGAACCCUCAGGAGAAAUGAGUACAGCACCUAUGCCACUUCCGUUGGAGUUGUGGGAACCAUCGACAUAUACUUGCCAGGUAUCGGGAGGAUUGUCCAUGACUUUCCUUGUUUCAGGUUCUGGUUCCCAAUUGAUAUCCUCUGCUGGAUAGUCUGCUAAGAAAUCUGCGACGACCUGGCCCUUGACUGCCUGUCGUGAGACGAACUCAAAUGUGUAAUCACCUAGUUCGGCUGCCUAUCGAGCCAUACGACCUGUUUUGUUCUUUUUUUCUAAUAUGUGGCGUAAUGGCUGGUCGGUGAUUACUUUGACAGUGUGGGCUUGGAAAUAAGGUCUAAAUUUGCAUGCAGCGUAAAGUAGAGCUAAUGCUAAUUUCUCUAGAGGUGAGUACCUUAUUUCGGCCUGUUGUAAGACUUUGCUCGUGAAGUAAAUUGGUCUUUCGACCUGAUUUUCCUCUUUGAAAAGUACUGCACUGAUCGCAAAAUCUGAAGAUGCGAGGUAGAUACCGAGUAUAUCUCCAUCAUUAGGCUUAGUGAGAACUGGCGGAGUGGAUAAAUAUGCCUUGAGGUCGGUGAAGGACUUCUCUCAUUCUUCUGUCCAUUCAUAUGUAGCCCCCUUCUUAAGAAUAUGAAGCAUUGGUCGACAUUUAUCUGAUGCUCUAGAAAUGAAUCUAUUGAGAGCUGAUACCAUACCGUUGAGUUUUUGGAUCUGCUUCUUUGUUUUCGGGGUGGGCAUGUCAAUCAGUGCUCUGAUCUGGUCUGGAUUUGCUUCGAUGCCUCGUUUUGUGACUAGGUAGCCGAGAAACUUUCCUGAUGCGACCCCGAACAGACACUUCUCUGGAUUAAGACGCAUCCUGUAUUGUCUUAAUCUUUGGAACGCCUGGUCGAGAUUGUACAAAUGAUCCUGCUCUUGGUUGCUCUUGACUAGCAUAUCGUCAAUGUAGACUUCCAUUGUUCGACCUAGCAAGUCGUCGAACAUCCUGGUGACCAGUCUCUGAUAGGUCGCUUCUGCAUUCCUUAAGCCAAAUGGCAUAACCUUGUAGCAGAAAAUGCCUUGCUCUGUUGUAAAAGAGGUCUUCUCCUGGUCGGGCUCGUACAUUGGGAUCUGGUUGUACCCUAAGUACGCGUCCAUGAAUGACAAUAGCUCGAAACCGCAUGUCUGAUCGACUAACCUAUCGAUUCGUGGCAGUGGGAAUGAAUCUUUAGGACAAGCUUUGUUCAAGCUUGUGAAGUCGAUGCAGACUCUUGUUUUCCCAUUUUUCUUUAAGACUGGCACGAUGUUGGCUAGCCAGUCUGGAGUAUCGACUUCUCUGAUGAAUCCGACCUGUUUGAGUCUAUUGAUUUCUUCAUUGACUGCUUCGUGAAACUUGGGAGCGAGCCUCCUUGGUUUUUGCUUAACAGGUCGAUAAUUCGGAUUGACGCGCAGCUUAUGACAUGCAAUUGAUGGAUCUAUUCCAGGCAUAUCGAUAUACGACUAAGCAAAAACAUCUUUAUUAGUUGAAAGAAAAUUUACAAAGUUACGGAACUUAUCUCCUUCUAACUCUGCACCUACAUAGACAUAUCUCGGGUCAUCUUCUGACCCUAGGUUCACACGUACUCCUGGAUCAGUGCUUCCGAGAUUAAGUUUGGUUGAGCUCGUUUGCUCCUUCUGUAGUUGCUAUUUGGUAGCUUCGGUCUUCUCUUUUGACGGGCUCUUGGACUUGUUGUCGCCCUCUCGAGCCUCUGAUGAGAUCGGGCUCUUCCCUUUGAUGUCAGCAUCCUUGGUUCCAGAGGUGGAUGGCUUUGCAGGCGCCACAGCUUCGAUAAUUCCAUGACAUUCCUGUGCGGCGUUCUGGUUGCCUCGAAGUUCCAUUAUCCCAUGAGGUCCGGGAUAACGGAAAACUUGAUGAUAUGUUGACGGAACACCUCUCAUGGCAUGGAUCCAUUUUCGACCCAGAAUCGCAUUAUACUUACUUGCGAUGUUGAGGAUGCUGAACUUGACAGUGACGACGACCUUAUCUUCCUUACGGCCCACAGUGACGGGCAACAGAAUUUCACCCUUAGGAUCUUCUCUUGAGCUGUUGAAGCCUAGAAUGGGUGUGAAAUCGGGGAUGAGAACUGAAUCGGGCAACCUCAUGUCCUUGAAGGUUCUGUACAUGAGAAUGUUGCAUGAUGCGCCAGGAUCGAUGAGUACCCUCUUGAUGAUGUAGUCGGCUAUUCUCAGCUUGACAACAAGGGCAUCGUUGUGAGGAGUAACGACUUUGUUUAGGUCAUCCUCUGUGAAAGUAAUAUCGGUUUCCUGGCGCAUGGGUAUGUUGAAGCGAGCUGCUUUGCCAGAAAUCGAGUAGACAUGAUGAAAAUGCUCUACUCGUCUCUUCUUGUCUCUUGUCAGAGGGGUGGAGUUGGAUUCACAGAUCAUGUAGACUACAUGACUUUCCGACUCGCUGUCACUAUCAAUCUUGUUUGCGACAUUCUUGUUGAUUUGGUCGCGUAGGUCGCCCGUUGGACCUAGACGUUGGGAGAGGCUACGCCCUCUGCUGCGGACUGGACUUAUGGAUGUCGUUCUAGCCUUGCUGUGAUGUCGCUUUGGUGAACGGGGAGGCGUUCUGGAUUCUUUCCUCGCCCGCUUGUUUGUGGUAUCCUCUUGUCUUCCAAGGAUCCAAUUGUUGAGCCUUUUUUCAUCGGCCCAAGUCUGAAGAGCGCGUUUCAGGACGCGACAGUCAUCAGUUUGAUGACACCGUACCUUGUGAACUUUGCAGUACGGCAGACCAGAUGUAUCCUCCAACUGUGUGAAGGUAGGAAUUUUGCACCAGUGGUUGUGCUUGAUUCUCUCAUAGAUAUAACCGGCUGGUCGUGUAAACCGGUGAUACUCUCGUUGCUCGGUAGGCAACGACUUUGCUUUGAACCUCUUGUUGUCUGAACGAGGUCGUUUGAUGGAGCCAGAUUCCACGUUGCUGAUAACAUGAUUCUUUUCCCUACUAGUUAGGGCUUCUUCGAGCUUGAUAUAACGAUCUACCUUAAGAUAUAGCUCGUCGAGAGAUGAAGGUCUCUUCAUGGCUAAAGAUUUGUGCAGGUCGGACCCCUGGAUCAGACCGUGAGAGAAUGCGAUUGUCGCAAAGGUUUCAUGUUCCUUUGCAAAAUCUUGGAUGGAAUGCAAUUCAGAUUUAAACCGAGCAAAGAAAUUGCUCAAUGACUCACCAUCCCGCUGCUUGACUUUGAAGAUGGAAUCGAUGGUGACGGGGCGCUUUUUGUUGUGGAUGUAGAAGAUGACGAACUGCUUUUCGAGCUCGGCAAACGAGCGGAUGGAUCCUGGCUUUAAACGGUGAAACCAGUCGAGAGCAAGUCCAGUGAGGCUGGACUGGAACAGUAAACAUAGAAGAUGAUCUUCCUUGAUGAGAGGAAGGGAUUUCCGGAAUCCCUUGAUAUGGUCGGUUGGAACUCCGACUCCUGCAUAUUGAUCGAACUUGGGGGCAUUGAGCUUGUUUGGCAAUUCAUGUUCAAGGAUCUCCUUGGAGAAAGGAGACUCCUGAAACUGCUGGAGGGACUGGACAGCAAGUUGCUCCGCGGUGUGGCUUUUGGAAUGGUGUAAGAUAGCCUGAGAGGCUUUGAACUCUGCUAACUGUUAGCUGAGUUGCUCGUACUUCUGGUUGGAGUCAUCAACAAGAAUGACUCCCUGUCCACCAUUUGUUCCUUGUGCUGGGUUGGUAUCUUGUGCAGCCUUCAAGCGUGCGUUCUCUUCCUGAAGACGGUUGAUUUGGUCUUGCAGAUCUUGGAUGGUAAGUUCUUGAGUAGUCAUUUGAAUGAAUGACUUUGAGAAGGGUGGGAGGAUUUGGGUUUUUCCGAUUAUGAUCGAAUUCCUUACAGUCGGCGCCAAAUGUAUUAACCUAUUUCUAGAUUAAUGCACUUAUUAGGUCAGGUCGCUGGGAGACUUGACCAAAGGGGAAGUUUUGGAUCGGGGUGGCUGCACCUCGUCGGGAUUGAGAUUGCCUACGUACUCUAGUUCGUGGGGAUUGAACUUAGAGAUCAAGCCAUCGUAGUUCUGUUCUUAUAGAAGGUAGAAAGGCGUGGAUCAUGGAUCUUGCAGAUUCUCCGUUGUCAUCAUGAGGAUUGAUUAUGUAACGAGCGAGGAUCAUCCCUGCGAAUUAAUUAUGUAACGGUCGAGGAUAUUAUGUGCAUUGAAUAAGAGCACGUGUGUAUUAGCAGGCCGCUGCUGGUUAUGAGAUCGAGUUGUUGUGGUCGAGCUACUAGCAGGUAGGGAUCGUGGCGACCUGAUGGAUGAAUGAUUGUGCCACGUGGCUGCUUUUGAUUGGUUGGAGUAUGUAGUAUCCCUACAAAAAUGUAGUACGUCUACAUAACUAAACAGAUUCUGCCACCUACUGAAGGCUAAACUGUUGAGUUAUGCAACAAAGUAGGGUCGAAUUCCCAACUUAUGCAACCAACUAAAUUAGGUUUAAAAUCAUCAACAAACUUUCAAGUUUUGAAAGAUGUCACAGAAUAAUGUUUGACAGAGUCCACAAACAUAUCUAUAAAUUUAACUAUUUAAGUACCUUAGAAUUGUUUCUACAAACUCAUUUCCUGCAUCACUGGAACAAACACAACAUAUUUCUUUCCUGCUCAUUUUUUUACACUAACAUUCUCUGCAUUUCUUACAAAAAUUAAGACCAAAACAAAUUCAAAUUGUUUACGUUGUUCUAAAAAAGGCCUAAGGGUUUUAAACAAAUUCAAUCAGUGGGUCGAAGCAUCGGAUGCAACGUCUCUAGUUUUGGAUAUCCCAGUUCACCCUGAUAAGCCUUCAAUACAUCAGGAGCUAUGUCCUGGUACUUGGUCACAUACCUCUUCUCAAACAGCUGCUUCGACACAGUUAAUGUCGUCACUAAAUUCAAAUCUUUCUUAAUAAGGCCAUUUGAUAACAGAAAUACCAAAAUUGAACACCUUGGAAUAAUUCUCUUCUCCAAACUAAUCAUCAUCAGCUUCGGACGUUUUGCAACAUCAGAUGGUUGCAACCCAAACUUAUUCAAAUAUAAAUCCAUCAAUUUCCUGAUUUUCUUCUCUGAAGUAACCAUAAGACUAGGUUGCAAUUUGAAAGCUGAGAUGAUAUCUUCCUCAGACCAUCCAAAGCUCUUAUAAACCUCUACUUUAUAUUCCCAACUCGACUUCGUCAUGGUACACCUUACACUAAGAGCAUGGACAAAAGACCUAGUAUAUUUAUCAAACCUCAUUUCCUCAAUCUCUCUAACCAUCUCUUUGAAGUGUUCAUUCUUCCGCCAAAAUACCCUUGGUUGUAGCAUAAUUAAUUUGGAAAUAUUGCAUUGAGGUACACCAUGAUGUUGCAAAGUUGAAAUGUUAAGAGCAAGUUCAAGAGAAAAUCCAGUACAUCUUUUGAGAACAGUGAUGAUAUUGACAUUGGUGUGUAAGAAACUUUGUAACAAAUUGACUGUAGGUACUAUUCGAUUUCUUAAACUUACACAUAAGAUAUUCCCAUUUGAAUCGACUAAACUCGCAAUUUCUGGUUUUGAUAAACCUAAUGAGGAUUCAAAAUACUCAAAUUUGGGUUGAAGGGUUUUAAUAGGAUCAGCUAGAAUCAAUUGUGGGCGUCUAGUGAUAAGAUUUGCAAUCUGGGUUUGAGUAAAACCAUAUGUUUUGAAAAGCUCAAGAACUGAGUCUGGUUUCUCAGUAGAUUCAAUAUCAGUGUGCAUGUUUUUAGAAGCUGAGAUAGCAGAAUCUAAAGACAACCCACAUUUCUCUAUAAGAUAAGAAACUGUGGGUGAGUGAUAAUUUGUUGUUGUUGUUGUUGUUGUUGGGGUUAUUGAUAUGUUGGAGAUUUGGGUAUGGAAACAGUAGACAUGAAUGUUGUUUGAAAAAUUUCGCCUUCUUGUUGUAAUAAUAUUGGCAUUUUGUAUAAAAUUGUUGCAAGAUAAUCCAAACAUGGAGGGAAGUUUACAAAGUUAUUAAUAGAAUUUGAGCUCAAUUUCAAUUUCAAUGGCUUUUACUUCCACAAGAAGAACAACCCUAGCCACUGCUCUCCUUACAAAGUUGAUAAGAUAAGACCACAUCAUCAACCUUAAAAUGCUAUCCGAAAUAUUCAUAAAAUAUCUAACAUUUAG
rnacentral:lncRNA from 1 species